AGGUGUGCUGGGUCUGCUGUGUUUAGGUGGUCUCUAUCAGUGGUGUGAGGACAGGUGUGCUGGGUCUGCUGUGUUUAGGUGGUCUCUAUCAGUGGUGUGGGGACAGGUGUGCUGGGUCUGCUGUGUUUAGGUGGUCUCUAUCAGUGGUGUGGGGACAGGUGUGCUGGGUCUGCUGUGUUUAGGUGGUCUCUAUCAGUGGUGUGGGGACAGGUGUGCUGGGUCUGCUGUGUUUAGGUGGUCUCUAUCAGUGGUGUGGGGACAGGUGUGCUGGGUCUGUUUUAGGUGGUCUCUAUCAGUGGUGUGGGGACAGGUGUGCUGGGUCUGUUUUAGGUGGUCUCUAUCA